GGUUAAGCGACUAAGCGUACACGGUGGAUGCCCUGGCAGUCAGAGGCGAUGAAGGACGUGCUAAUCUGCGAUAAGCGUCGGUAAGGUGAUAUGAACCGUUAUAACCGGCGAUUUCCGAAUGGGGAAACCCAGUGUGUUUCGACACACUAUCAUUAACUGAAUCCAUAGGUUAAUGAGGCGAACCGGGGGAACUGAAACAUCUAAGUACCCCGAGGAAAAGAAAUCAACCGAGAUUCCCCCAGUAGCGGCGAGCGAACGGGGAGCAGCCCAGAGCCUGAAUCAGUAUGUGUGUUAGUGGAAGCGUCUGGAAAGGCGCGCGAUACAGGGUGACAGCCCCGUACACAAAAAUGCACAUGCUGUGAGCUCGAUGAGUAGGGCGGGACACGUGGUAUCCUGUCUGAAUAUGGGGGGACCAUCCUCCAAGGCUAAAUACUCCUGACUGACCGAUAGUGAACCAGUACCGUGAGGGAAAGGCGAAAAGAACCCCGGCGAGGGGAGUGAAAAAGAACCUGAAACCGUGUACGUACAAGCAGUGGGAGCACGCUUAGGCGUGUGACUGCGUACCUUUUGUAUAAUGGGUCAGCGACUUAUAUUCUGUAGCAAGGUUAACCGAAUAGGGGAGCCGAAGGGAAACCGAGUCUUAACUGGGCGUUAAGUUGCAGGGUAUAGACCCGAAACCCGGUGAUCUAGCCAUGGGCAGGUUGAAGGUUGGGUAACACUAACUGGAGGACCGAACCGACUAAUGUUGAAAAAUUAGCGGAUGACUUGUGGCUGGGGGUGAAAGGCCAAUCAAACCGGGAGAUAGCUGGUUCUCCCCGAAAGCUAUUUAGGUAGCGCCUCGUGAAUUCAUCUCCGGGGGUAGAGCACUGUUUCGGCAAGGGGGUCAUCCCGACUUACCAACCCGAUGCAAACUGCGAAUACCGGAGAAUGUUAUCACGGGAGACACACGGCGGGUGCUAACGUCCGUCGUGAAGAGGGAAACAACCCAGACCGCCAGCUAAGGUCCCAAAGUCAUGGUUAAGUGGGAAACGAUGUGGGAAGGCCCAGACAGCCAGGAUGUUGGCUUAGAAGCAGCCAUCAUUUAAAGAAAGCGUAAUAGCUCACUGGUCGAGUCGGCCUGCGCGGAAGAUGUAACGGGGCUAAACCAUGCACCGAAGCUGCGGCAGCGACGCUGAUGCGUUGUUGGGUAGGGGAGCGUUCUGUAAGCCUGCGAAGGUGUGCUGUGAGGCAUGCUGGAGGUAUCAGAAGUGCGAAUGCUGACAUAAGUAACGAUAAAGCGGGUGAAAAGCCCGCUCGCCGGAAGACCAAGGGUUCCUGUCCAACGUUAAUCGGGGCAGGGUGAGUCGACCCCUAAGGCGAGGCCGAAAGGCGUAGUCGAUGGGAAACAGGUUAAUAUUCCUGUACUUGGUGUUACUGCGAAGGGGGGACGGAGAAGGCUAUGUUGGCCGGGCGACGGUUGUCCCGGUUUAAGCGUGUAGGCUGGUUUUCCAGGCAAAUCCGGAAAAUCAAGGCUGAGGCGUGAUGACGAGGCACUACGGUGCUGAAGCAACAAAUGCCCUGCUUCCAGGAAAAGCCUCUAAGCAUCAGGUAACAUCAAAUCGUACCCCAAACCGACACAGGUGGUCAGGUAGAGAAUACCAAGGCGCUUGAGAGAACUCGGGUGAAGGAACUAGGCAAAAUGGUGCCGUAACUUCGGGAGAAGGCACGCUGAUAUGUAGGUGAAGUCCCUCGCGGAUGGAGCUGAAAUCAGUCGAAGAUACCAGCUGGCUGCAACUGUUUAUUAAAAACACAGCACUGUGCAAACACGAAAGUGGACGUAUACGGUGUGACGCCUGCCCGGUGCCGGAAGGUUAAUUGAUGGGGUCAGCGCAAGCGAAGCUCUUGAUCGAAGCCCCGGUAAACGGCGGCCGUAACUAUAACGGUCCUAAGGUAGCGAAAUUCCUUGUCGGGUAAGUUCCGACCUGCACGAAUGGCGUAAUGAUGGCCAGGCUGUCUCCACCCGAGACUCAGUGAAAUUGAACUCGCUGUGAAGAUGCAGUGUACCCGCGGCAAGACGGAAAGACCCCGUGAACCUUUACUAUAGCUUGACACUGAACAUUGAGCCUUGAUGUGUAGGAUAGGUGGGAGGCUUUGAAGUGUGGACGCCAGUCUGCAUGGAGCCGACCUUGAAAUACCACCCUUUAAUGUUUGAUGUUCUAACGUGGACCCGUAAUCCGGGUUGCGGACAGUGUCUGGUGGGUAGUUUGACUGGGGCGGUCUCCUCCUAAAGAGUAACGGAGGAGCACGAAGGUUGGCUAAUCCUGGUCGGACAUCAGGAGGUUAGUGCAAUGGCAUAAGCCAGCUUGACUGCGAGCGUGACGGCGCGAGCAGGUGCGAAAGCAGGUCAUAGUGAUCCGGUGGUUCUGAAUGGAAGGGCCAUCGCUCAACGGAUAAAAGGUACUCCGGGGAUAACAGGCUGAUACCGCCCAAGAGUUCAUAUCGACGGCGGUGUUUGGCACCUCGAUGUCGGCUCAUCACAUCCUGGGGCUGAAGUAGGUCCCAAGGGUAUGGCUGUUCGCCAUUUAAAGUGGUACGCGAGCUGGGUUUAGAACGUCGUGAGACAGUUCGGUCCCUAUCUGCCGUGGGCGCUGGAGAACUGAGGGGGGCUGCUCCUAGUACGAGAGGACCGGAGUGGACGCAUCACUGGUGUUCGGGUUGUCAUGCCAAUGGCACUGCCCGGUAGCUAAAUGCGGAAGAGAUAAGUGCUGAAAGCAUCUAAGCACGAAACUUGCCCCGAGAUGAGUUCUCCCUGACUCCUUGAGAGUCCUGAAGGAACGUUGAAGACGACGACGUUGAUAGGCCGGGUGUGUAAGCGCAGCGAUGCGUUGAGCUAACCGGUACUAAUGAACCGUGAGGCUUAACCUU
rnacentral:rRNA from 1 species